CAAGAGUCUGGAUCAAAUAGUCCUGGAAGAGUCAAAAGAUGUCCUUUUGGAGGUAAGUUCAGUUAUUUCCAGGUAGAUUUGAGAAGAUAAAAAAUGUGUGUUGUCCAUAACGCCGCAUCAUUUUGGACGCAGAUAUAUGCACCAUGGUGUGGCCAUUGUCAGUCACUGGAGCCUAUCUACAACAAGUUGGUCAAGUUUCUCCAUGGCAUUGACUCCCUUGUAAUAGCCAAAAUGGACGGCACAAACAAUGAGCAUCCUCGUGCCAAGGUACUCAACCUAUUGAUGCACAUGGACAUGAUGACUCUUUAGCGUUUAUGGACCAACCAACCUGUAAUCAUGGACCUUAUUGUCUUGUAGACCAUUUGGUGUUUCGAGUGUUUUGGAGCUUGCACUUUGUGCAUGUAGAUACAAACUUGUGUGUUCUGGACCAUCUGAAGUCUCUCAUAGUAACCAAUAGUCCUUAUCUUUU